rnacentral:rRNA from 1 species
CAGUAGCCGCGGUAAUACGAAGGGUGCAAGCGUUACUCGGAAUUACUGGGCGUAAAGCGUGCGUAGGUGGUGGUUAAGUCCGUUGUGAAAGCCCUGGGCUCAACCUGGGAAUUGCAGUGGAUACUGGGUCACUAGAGUGUGGUAGAGGAUAGUGGAAUUUCCGGUGUAGCAGUGAAAUGCGUAGAGAUCGGAAGGAACAUCUGUGGCGAAGGCGACUAUCUGGGCCAACACUGACACUGAGAGACGAAAGCUAGGGGAGCAAAUGGGAUUAGAUACCCGGGUAGUCCCUGUCUCUUAUACA